GAUCUGCCUCUCUUUAUGUAAAAAUUAUUCUAUAUGUGUCUUAAGUGAAUUUGUUCUUAAUGUGGUGAAAAUACCUACCUAUUAUAGUACUCUAUUUUAGCCAGUAUUUGAUUUUCAAAAAUCAUCAGGCUUCCACCUAAAUGAUAAUCGUGUUUUUCAGAAAUAUUCUCUAUAUACAGGGAUAUAACCAUGUUUGUCAAAGAUAAUGUUUUGUUGCACAAGGAUAUUGUUCAGGUUUCUCUGGUGCUGCUAUUCCUUGUAUAUGAUAAGACAUCUACUAACAACCAACUGGCCUCACUGGUUCGAUACAAUAGUAAACUUAAGAACUUAUUCAUGCCUAACUGUUAUUUUUUAUUUUUGUAGUAUUGAGCUUAGGGAAGCCAAUACUAGUACCAGACAUGGCAAAGUCAAUUUGGCAGUUCAUUGCACCUCAGGGCAACAUAAGUAUAAUAAAUUAUAUUUGGUGAAAUUUAUGGAAAUUCCACACUUAUAGCACUGACAUAGGUUUGUUGUGCCAAUGAAGAACGGUGACCUCGAUAGUAAAGGAGUCUUCGCUAGUAUUAUUCAAGCUAAAGUAACAAUAGAAGCAUUCAAGGUACUUAUAAUUUAUAAUUUCACAUAUGUCAUUUAAAUGUGUGUUAACUGUCUUAUCCUUCUACUAAUGAUGCAAGUAACGCACAGGUUGUGAGACCAAAAUCUUUCACAUUCCUCUGGAUCAAACUUAUAGUCCAAUUCUAACUUUUUAUUUGUUUAUUUUUAUACCUGCUAAAUGAAGAUGUUAGCAGAAUUGGGACUUCUCUUUUAUGCAUUAGUAUCACCAUUUCUAUCUCCUUUUAAUGAAUACAAAAGGUUUCCACUUAAUUGGUGUUUCUGCUAGGACCUAGAUCCAGAGAUGGUGGUAUUUUAUCGGGUAGAGGAGCAGUAAUGUCCUAAGCAUAGACAAAUCAAUAUGAAAUGAUGCUUGCUCUUCUCCCUUAACUUGCUUUUAUAUUCUCUCAGUAGGGUGACUAGAAUUGUCUAAAGAAUGCAAGUCAUUGCAACUUUUUUCUUUGGUGCCCACCCUAAUGUAUCUUUUUUUUAAACUUGUUCACUUUGCGAAAAAAGGGUUCUGUUUUUGAGUCAACAUAAAAAAUAGAAACAUAGCCUUGCUUCUAAUAUGAUUUUAUAUAUUUCAUCUUAUUGCACUUUUAUGAUCUCAUGUUACCACCAAUGCAAUAUUUUGGCAAACGCUCCUGGGGUUUAUCUUGCAGUUAUGCAAAUAUU